AUAUUGGUAGUAUAAUUCUGUACAGUUGCCUUCCAAGCAAAAAGACCUAAAGGCUAAUAUA
rnacentral:tRNA from 1 species